rnacentral:rRNA from 1 species
CUACGGGCCGCUGCAGUGGGGAAUAUUGCACAAUGGGGGAAACCCUGAUGCAGCAACGCCGCGUGAAGGAAGAAGGCUCUUGGGUUGUAAACUUCUUUGAAUGGGGACGAAACAAAUGACGGUACCCAUAAAACAAGCCACGGCUAACUACGUGCCAGCAGCCGCGGUAAUACGUAGGUGGCAAGCGUUAUCCGGAAUUACUGGGUGUAAAGGGCGUGUAGGCGGGAGAGCAAGUCAGAUGUGAAAUGCCAAGGCUUAACCAUGGAACUGCAUCUGAAACUGUUUUUCCUGAGUACUGGAGAGGAAAGUGGAAUUCCUAGUGUAGCGGUGAAAUGCGUAGAGAUUAGGAGGAACACCAGUGGCGAAGGCGGCUUUCUGGACAGUAACUGACGCUGAGGCGCGAAAGCGUGGGGAGCAAACAGGAUUAGAUACCCCUGUAGUC